GGGCAAGAGGAAGUAACCGACAUUAAGGAUAAAGAUGUCAAUAAGAAGAAACUAAGGUGGCGUAUCAAUCAUUAUAAGACCAAACUCCUGAAUCCGUGUCGUGAAGGAAAGAAGCUUCUUGUUUUGGAUAUCGAUUAUACUCUCUUCGAUCAUAGAUCUCCAGCUGAAAACCCACUUGAGCUCAUGCGGCCAUAUCUUCAUGAAUUUCUC
rnacentral:misc_RNA from 1 species